CUUCAGAACACGAAGGAGGUUGGAUUUCUCAGCAGUCGCAGCCCUGAAGGUUCUGCCCUAAAGGAGCAUCAAGACUGGUUUGAGACACGAAUAGCGUACUUAACCCUCAGUGUAGAGCUUUAUUGGAGAGCUCACAGGUGGGUAGGAACAGGUCAACAGCUCCUGUUUGGGGGAAUGAGUUAAGAUAA
rnacentral:lncRNA from 14 species